rnacentral:rRNA from 1 species
AGGGUUUGAUUCUGGCUCAGGAUGAACGCUGGCGGCGUGCUUAACACAUGCAAGUCGAACGGGAAACCUUUUAUUGAAGCUUCGGCAGAUUUAGAUUGUUCCUAGUGGCGGACGGGUGAGUAACGCGUGGGUAACCUGCCUUAUACAGGGGGAUAACAGUCAGAAAUGACUGCUAAUACCGCAUAAGCGCACAGAGCUGCAUGGCUCGGUGUGAAAAACUCCGGUGGUAUAAGAUGGACCCGCGUUGGAUUAGCUGGUUGGUGAGGUAACGGCUCACCAAGGCGAUGAUAGGUAGCCGGCCUGAGAGGGUGAACGGCCACAAGGGGACUGAGACACGGCCCUU